UACGGAGGGUGCAAACGUUGCUCGGAAUCAUUGGGCGUAAAGCGCACGUAGGCGGACCGCUAAGUCGGAUGUGAAAGCCCUCGGCUUAACCGAGGAAGUGCAUUCGAAACUGACGGUCUUGAGUAUGGAAGAGGGUCGCGGAAUUCCCGGUGUAGAGGUGAAGUUCGUAGAUAUCGGGAGGAACACCAGUGGCGAAGGCGGCGACCUGGGCCAAUACUGACGCUGAGGUGCGAAAGCGUGGGGAGCAAACAGG
rnacentral:rRNA from 1 species